UGUUUGUUUUUGUUGUUGAUUCAUGUAUGUGGUUUGUGAUGUUGAUGUGCUAUGCGACGAUGAAGUGGUGUUUGAAAGUUGGGUCUCAACUAUGAUAGUUUUCAACUACGUUUCAAACCCCCCCUUCUUGAUUUCUCAAGCUCAAGAUUUACUUGCUCUAACCCGGGUUCAAAAAUGUAGAUCAUUUAGAGUGUUUCCUUGUGGAUGUGGUGCUGUGUCUAGGGUAUUUUAAAUCUUUGGUCUAGUGGGG
rnacentral:lncRNA from 1 species